rnacentral:lncRNA from 1 species
CUGGGAGGUCAGUGCAGGGUUCCUCCAUUUUGACAUGAGUAAAUUCUAGAUUAGGUAUUUGGCAGUUAACUCAUCUGGAUAUAUGGGAACAGAAGUGCCAGACACGUAGAUAAUAUUUGGAGAACAGGAGCAGACUUGGAACAUGCUGAAUAGAGGACAAGGAAGCAGAAGCGGUCUGUGUAGCUGAGGAAAAGAAGGAAGCUUUAGAGAGAACCAAAAACUGAUAAAUUAAUCUUUGAAAAAAUUGUUGACAACUUUUCAAAAAUUACCAGUUCAUAGACUAUGUUCACUUUAAAUGAGCGGCUUAUUUUAUCAAAUGACAGUUUUCCUAAAGACUUAUUAUUCAGUAUGGAUAGAAAUUUACUUUUCUGUCUGUCACCACAGUGAUAUUUAUUUAUGGAAAGUGGAUGAAGUUUCUCAAUUUCAAUGAGUAAAUUCUCAGUGGUAAACCGUGUCCUGUGUGUUUAAUGUCCUUGAAAGUUUUC